rnacentral:rRNA from 1 species
GAUCCUGGCUCAGGAUGAACGCUGGCGGCAUGCCUAAUACAUGCAAGUCGAACGAGAGGAAGGAAAGCUUGCUUUUCUGAAUCUAGUGGCGAACGGGUGUAGUAACACGUAGGUAACCUGCCCAUGUGCCCGGGAUAACUUCUGGAAACGGAUGCUAAAACCGGAUAGGUAGCAGACAAGCAUUUGACUGCUAUUAAAGUAGGCCUUGGCCAUGAACAUGGAUGGACCUGCGGUG